rnacentral:rRNA from 1 species
GUGGGGAAUAUUGGACAAUGGGCGAAAGCCUGAUCCAGCCAUGCCGCGUGUGUGAAGAAGGUCUUCGGAUUGUAAAGCACUUUAAGUUGGGAGGAAGGGCAGUAAGUUAAUACCUUGCUGUUUUGACGUUACCGACAGAAUAAGCACCGGCUAACUUCGUGCCAGCAGCCGCGGUAAUACAGAGGGUGCAAGCGUUAAUCGGAUUUACUGGGCGUAAAGCGCGCGUAGGUGGUUUUGUAAGUUGGAGGUGAAAUCCCCGGGCUCAACCUGGGAACUGCCUCCAAAACUGCAUGACUAGAGUACGGUAGAGGGUAGUGGAAUUUCCUGUGUAGCGGUGAAAUGCGUAGAUAUAGGAAGGAACACCAGUGGCGAAGGCGACUACCUGGACUGCUACUGACACUGAGGUGCGAAAGCGUGGGGAGCAAACAGGAUUAGAAACCCUAGUAGUCC